rnacentral:rRNA from 1 species
UGGGGAAUAUUGGACAAUGGGCGCAAGCCUGAUCCAGCCAUACCGCGUGGGUGAAGAAGGCCUUCGGGUUGUAAAGCACUUUUGUUGGGAAAGAAAUCCAGCCGGCUAAUACCUGGUUGGGAUGACGGUACCCAAAGAAUAAGCACCGGCUAACUUCGUGCCAGCAGCCGCGGUAAUACGAAGGGUGCAAGCGUUACUCGGAAUUACUGGGCGUAAAGCGUGCGUAGGUGGUCGUUUAAGUCCGUUGUGAAAGCCCUGGGCUCAACCUGGGAACUGCAGUGGAUACUGGGCGACUAGAGUGUGGUAGAGGGUAGCGGAAUUCCUGGUGUAGCAGUGAAAUGCGUAGAGAUCAGGAGGAACAUCCAUGGCGAAGGCAGCUACCUGGACCAACACUGACACUGAGGCACGAAAGCGUGGGGAGCAAACAGGAUUAGAUACCCUGGUAGUCCACGCCCUAAACGAUGCGAACUGGAUGUUGGGUGCAAUUUGGCACGCAGUAUCGAAGCUAACGCGUUAAGUUCGCCGCCUGGGGAGUACGGUCGCAAGACUGAAACUCAAAGGAAUUGACGGGGUCAUAGCUGUUUCC